UUCCAAUACUGAUAACACUUGUUGUAAUAGUGAAAAUAUCUGUUUUACCUCUAAUUAGUAAUUAAAACAUUAGCUUUUUCUAUAUAUAAAACCUUUAAAAUCUUAUUUAUUUAUUCAUUCUUUCAUUACAUAUUUUCCACCACUACCCAGGAAGCCUAGGCCUCUUUGAGAACUCUACCCUUAGGCAAGGUAGUUCCUUUAAGGAGACCUUCAAAGCUUCAUCAUCACCUUGGAGGCUCUUCAUUGGGAGCUUGUGUGGGAGGAGGCCAUCAGGUGAAAGUUGUUAGCAUACAGCUUUAAGUAGCCCUACCAGGACGCCAACUCAAGCGAGCUCAGCCGUUAAUCCCGCUGAAAUUUACUGCUGCGUGGACAGAGGAGGUGCACAUGCCCAACGUCAGGAAAGCAGCAUUAUGUAAAGGAAGAAAGCAAGGCAAGGGAUCCCAUUUGGCAGGUCUCCUGACACCUACAGGACACCGAAGCCAGGCCCUUCAACAGACGGCGGCGAGGCAGGAUAGUGACCUUCCACGUUUGUCUGACUGAUUCUUGGCAACUUCAUCCUCUGCCUCCCCAAUAAUCUCUUGUUUGACUCCAGGCACCCGUUUCCCACUUCCCCUAAGUACACAGCUGUAGCCUACUAGAAACAGAUGAGAGUGUGACCCGUGACCUGUAUUGAAGUCUUGCCUGAAGAUACCAACCCCUGACAGUCCUAUUAUGGAGAGCACAGUACAAAAUAGAAUUCAUAAUUCCACAUUCGGAUGUGAUAUUUUAUACAUCUCUUUGUCUUGUGUGGCAUUUUACUGUGUUUUACUGUAAUCUUCUGUUCAAUGUUUCAUUAUAGUUCACUGAGUUGUAGAACAGAUAAAAAAGUUACUGAAAGGAGUCAGAAAAAUGCAUGUUUAGCGCAUGACACUUGUUUAGCCACAUGGCCUUGAGUUUCAGUAUUUCAUUAGUAAAAUAGCGAGAAUAAAACUCACCUGGUUAAAUGGAUCAGAUAAGAAAACAUUUUUAAAGCAGAGCACAGUAACAGGAACAUAGUAAGUCCAUGGUAGCGCCUAGAUAUUUGAAAAAUAAUUGUGUUCUUGUUUACAAAGGUGUUUUUUUUUUAAACAAGUCCUUCACGUUUCUCAACAUUACAGCCUCCUCCUUUUCAUCUUCAAAUCUUACUCUGUUACUUGGCCCAUAGCAGAUGCUCCAUGUGUGGUAGUGAAAUUGAAUUUCUGAGAGUUGUUUAGGCUUUAAAUGAGUCCCUGGAAAUUCUUUCUAGUCUAAAAAUUCUUGCCCUAAUCUAAGAUUAAUUCUUUGGAAAUUGAAGAGGGAAAAAGAUGGGGGAUGCAAGUAGGAAAGAGAGAGAGAGAAGAGAUUAUCUGUGAGAUAUUUAUCUAAAUGGCCUGGCAGUGCGAGUGGCAGGCUCCCGAUGGUCUCCCGGUGUGGGAGGGAAGAUGAAUGGUUUCCAGGGCACCCGGUGCUACUCCUUAAAGGAGCCUGCUGUGGCCAGAGCUGGCCCCUUUGACCCUGUUUCAAUGUAGGAGGAAGGAUGGGUAGAAUCAUAAAAGGAACACACACUCUCACACUCCCACUGCACUUCCCCUGGAAACACUGGAUAUGUUGAGGCGGUUGGCAUGCGAGGAUGCUUGGUGUGGCAAAAAGCACUUGAAACGUGACUUUGCUGCUGCAGCUCUGUGACCUGAGGCACAUUAUUUGGCUCUUUGUGCUCUUUACUCACUUGUGAAACUAGGAGAAUAAUGUCUACUUUGCGGGGCUAUUCUGGUAGUUAAGUAAUACAAAGCAUAUUAAAGCUAUUCACAGUUUGUAUAUCUAUUAUGCCAGUAGCUAAAUCUACUAUGUAUUAUAGAUAUUUUAGGCUAAAUGUGAAGAAUAACUUUUUUCAGAUGUUUGGUCAUCUUUACUGAAAAUUAACCCUUAAGUGUUGGUAUCAAUGUGUUAUAUGAUCCUGUCCUGUUGACCAGAUUUCAUGAAACCAGAGGUGGAUAUAAGAUCUUAAAUGAUGCAGACUUCUCUUUCCUAAAAAUAUAGUUUGGAGGCAAAGCUUUGUGUGUAUGUGUG
ensembl:lncRNA